CAAAAUAUCUCUCCCCUGGCGGCGCGGCGGUGGAGGCAUCUCCAGCUUGCUCGACCCUGGCUGCCGCUGCUUGUAGGCUGCGCAUCCGGCACGUGUUACUCCUCCGUGGUUCUUCAAGAUCCAGAAGGCUCACCUGGGCUUCGUCACCACCGUUUAGGCCCACCUGCACUCAUCCUCUGCUCCAAGAUCCAGAAGGAACUCUGCGAGGGCCUCUUUCGACGGCAGGCGUAGAAGAUCCCGGUGGCUCUGGUUUCAUAUUUGCUCGGUCCUGAGGAGAGGUCUGCACUGUUUAUCAGGAAAACUUGAGCUUCUGUUUGGAUCUAUGUGUCAGGUGCCGUUUCAAGAUCUCAACCCAGCCAGUGGUUUAGUGAAGUUCGAAACAAAUAGAAUGUGUAGAUGUAGAUAAGGUGGCUAAAGUUGUCCAAACAUAAAAACACCCGAUUCGGAAGUCUUAGCGAAGUAUAUAGUACGCUACUGCGUGGGGGGGAUGUGGACAUGUGGUGGUUGCUUUGCUUCACCUUGACGGCUUGACCCAUGAGCCAUGAUCAAUUCAGCAAAGAAACACGGUUUCCGUUAUGCGAAAAGGCGGGAGGGGGAAGUCGACCCAUCUGCGGAAGCACGUACCUAAAAUCCAGAAGCCCGCCGCACGCUCUCCGGUUCCUUGCUCCCUUUACGUACGUCGUUUCAGAGCAGGCUCUCAACCUUCAUCCCGAAGGUUUGCAAUGGAGAGGAGAGGAGAGGUGGGAGAGAGGAAGAGAAACAUUUGCAAUGAAGAGGAGACAAGAGAUGUCAGAGAGAGGACCAAGGGACAUACCCAGCGGCCUUGCCGGGGCGGGCCCAGGGCUGAAGUUAUUGCUUCACGGAUCGUCCUGCGCUGAAUCAGUUACAGUGCACUACUAUUCUCUACAGAAACAAUCCCCACGGACUAGGACGGUCUCCAACAACGUUUUCUAUGUUUAUCCCUACUUUACAUUCUUCUAUAAAAGAUUUUUCAUCCUCUAUAUCUCCUUUCUCUCCAACAACGUCAUAAAUCACAUACUCUAUAAGCAAAUACUUAUAUUAGAGACAUUUUUUUACAUACGUAUUUGUCAUAUUCUCAAAUGUAUUAUACAUAUUUUAGUUUUGUUAAACCAGUUGUUUAAAGUAUU